rnacentral:tRNA from 5 species
GGGGCCAUAGCUCAGCUGGGAGAGCGCUACAAUGGCAUUGUAGAGGUCGCGAGUUCGAUCCUCGCUGGCUCCACCA